UCAUUUUAAAACGUAGUUUUUAAAUAAAACAAAAUAUCGGAUAUCGGAAAAGAAAAAUUGAUAUGCCAUUUCAAUAUUGAUGAUGAUAAUAAUCACUUUGCGUCCAGCUCAGCUGCCAUAAAAUAGGAAUGAAUUAAUCAUUUCCGGUUGUAUUUCAGACAAGAAAACUAUACAUUUUAUUUGUUUGGGUGUAAUUUCUCCGUUUGUUUACUAAUUCACGCUCAGCUCAGGAUUGAAGUGGACAUACCGCUAAAACUUCCGGGUUUGUUUAAGCCACGCCUCCUUAUGUAAAUGAGGACUUGACGUUGAGCACGUGACUCGAACGAGUAUAAAUGCCGCCGUAACCAUCCAUCAUGUAGACUUUGUUUAGUUGCUUUCAUUUUCACUUUUGUCGUCUCAGCAUGACGAGCUGUCACUCAGCCCGGACACCUGUGUGUUUUAUUCUGUAUUUUAUUAUUCGCUGCUCUACUCUGUCCGGUCACGCGGACGCCGCUCCCAGCGCUGUGGAGGAGAGCGUGAACACCAGAGUCCACGCGCGAGAGCGGUCCGGUUUACCCGGGUUUGACCCGGGAGAUCCUGCUCCACAUUUCCAGGUUCAAACCCUAGACGGGGAGUUUGUUUAUCCUCUCAAGGAGGCGUCCAACUCCUCCGUGAUCAUCCACGCGUUCACGAAUAAAUCCGCUUUCCUGGAGUGUCUCUGGACGUCCAACUCCUCCGUGUCCGAUCUGAUUGAGUUCCUUCCGGUCGGUGCUGAAAUCCUCUUCCUGUCUCUGGAUGAUUCCGCGGCUCAGGAUGUGCUGUGGAUGAGAGAGCAGGUUUACAGGGUCGCCUCCGCCGCAGCGCACAGGGGUAAGGAAAUUUUAUCCAGGCUUCAUUUCUCCCCCAUCCCUGUCUACGCCUUGGGGAACUGGAUACCCAGAGUGCUCUACUCGUGGGGAUGCGGCGGACACAACUGCGGUUUGCCACAAGCGGUGUUCACCGGUCCAGAAUGGAAAGUUCCGGUGAUCACGAAGCGCCUGAACGCCAGGUACGACUGGCUGAAUGGCCGCUGGGAAAAUAAGCAGUACGUCGUGGUCGGUGCGGGUGACGGCUGCGAGCCCUUUCCUGCGGCCGCCGGAGCCGUGGCCUGGGUUUCUGAAAGCGGCUGCUCGUUUUUCACUAAGAUUAAAGCCAUGGCAGAUUCCAAAGCAGUAGGUGUGCUGGUUCACACGUUACCUGGCAACCCGAUCCAGGACAUGAACUGUGCUGGAGAUGAGUGUAACACCACCCUGAACAUUCCUGCUUCCAUGCUGCACUUCGAGCCUGCUGUGGCUCAGGCGCUAUCAUCAGGGAAGCCGGUGAACGUCACGUUCCAGCUCACUCCAUCACCCAACUUUUUUAUUGCGAUUGACCAGCAGGGGGCGCUGGCGGAAAUGGGCUGGUUCCUCUAUCCUUCAUUCCGGUUCUUAAGCUGGCAGGCAGAGUGGUUUGACUUCAACGCCGCCUUGCUGGCUCGUGUCAAGCGUCCUGCGGCUGUCGUUCCUGUGUUUAAUCACACGCUGAUGCAGGGAGAGGCAGGAGCUCGGGCCUUGGUGAAGCUUCCCAGAGACUUGUUGGGGUUCGACGUGCUGGAGCUGGACGCGGCGUUGUCCUGCCCGGGCCGCAGGGACGAGACGUGCGCUCACUGGGAUCACACGGUGCAGCUGUUCAUCUGCUGCGAUCAGUUCGGUCCUUACUGUAACAUGGAGCUCGGCCGCUGGAUCACCGCCUUCCGCAGAGGAACGGGCCGCUGGCUGACGGACGUGUCUCCGCUCCUCCCUCUGCUGAACAGCGAGCGCUGUGAUCUGGUCAUGAAGACGCCGCCCUGGGCCAUGCCCUGGAUCACAUCCCUCAACUUGCGCUUCAGCCACAGCGGGCGCUCGGGAAAAUCCCCUGAGAAGCUUUACCCCUUCAAGCUGACGUUUCUGUACAAGGGCGGGACCUUCGACAGGGAUUACAACUCCAGAUUUAAGGAGAUCAAGUUCACGGUCCCACCUUCAACGAAAAAGAUUCGUUCCCCCUUCUGCUGUUAUAAUGCGCUCCACUCUUCUGGGAAGGCUUUCUACUAGAUUUCGGGGCGUGGCCGUGGGGGUUCGGGUUCGUUCACAAAUGAACGAGAGCGCUAGUGAGGUCGAGGUCAGGUGCUGACGUUGAUGUUAGGAGACUCCAGUUCCGGUUCAUCCCGAAGGUGUUCAGUAGGGUUGAGGUCAGGGAUCCGUACAGGACGCUCGAGUUCUUCUACCUUCUUCCAGUCUUCACACAUCACGUCUUCACGGAGCUGGCUUUGUGCACAGGAGCAUUGUCGUGCUGGCGGAACAGGUGGAGCUGUACGCCGUGAUCACGGGCCACGGCAGCGAUGAUAACAACUGCGGCGAAUUCUGCGUGACGUCGCACUUCUUCCUCGUCAACGCCGCCCACAACAAUUCACUCACCUUCGACUCCGCUGGCG